rnacentral:tRNA from 1 species
CCCCGUCGUCUAGCGGCCCAGGACGGCGCCCUCUCACGGCGUUAACGGCGGUUCAAAUCCGCUCGGGGGUA